GCGGGAGGGGCGCCCGGCGAGCGCGGCCUCUGCCCUGGCCCCGGCCCCCGCCCCCUGCCCCGCCGCCCCGGCCCCGCUGGACCGGAGGCAGUCGCGGCCGAGCCUGGCUGGCACCGCCUACGAGGCCCCGGGGACCUUAUGGGAAAGGCUUACAUCACCAAAGCCUUGAGAGAAACAGUCACCUUCACAGCUUGUACAUUCUGAGCCAAUGACUGCAUACCUUCACUGCCUGCUGCACAGACUCAUCACUUCCUGCUCUGGACUGCAGACAAUAUUUGCAAUAGCGAUGUGGCAGAGAGAGAAAGAGAGAGAGAGAGAGCAUGAGCAGGGGAGGGGCAGAGAGGGGGAGACACAGA